GACGAACGCUGGCGGCGCGCUUAACACAUGCAAGUCGAGCGAAGCGGCGGACGGGUGAGCAACACGUGAGUAACCUGCCUUAGACAUUGGGAUAGCCUCGGGAAACCGGGAUUAAUACCAAAUGGUCUAAGAGGGGCUCGAGUCCCAUUAGCUAGUUGGUGGGUAACGGCCCACCAAGGCGACGAUGGGUAGCCGGGUUGGGAGGGUGAACCGCAACAUUGGAACUGAGCAACGGUCCAAACUAUACGGGAGGCAGCAGUGGCGAAUAUAGCACAAUGGAGGGAACUAUGAUGCAGCGACGCCGGGUGAACGAAGAAGGCUUUCGAGUCGUAAAGUACUUUUAUAUGGGAAGCGGUACCAUAAGAAAAAGCCCCGGCUAACUACGUGCCAGCAGCCGCGGUAAUAC
rnacentral:rRNA from 1 species